GGCGAUUUAGUUCAAUAUGUUAACCUGUGAUGUGUAAGUGGUUAAUUAAAAGUGGCUGAGCUAAUACAACGCCCAGAAUAGGGUUGUUAUAAGGAGAUUGAGAAGUGACAGAAUGUAACAGCUUUGUUUUUAGAGAUCCAGUUAGAACAUGUAGAAUGAGUUGGUUCAAGCGUGGAAGUAUUCGACAAGAGUCACGACAGAGCAGCUCUCCAGUUGAACAGGUUGUGUCCAGGGAUCGCCGCGACACAGACCCAGACACUUUGCUGGAGGUGUUUUGCAACCACUGGCAACAGGUCUGCUUUGUCAUCGAGAAAAACAAAGAUGCCGACAAUAUGGAUGAUAUCGAAACUGUCAUCCACAACUUUGAGCAGAUGGUCACAUUCUUGGUUCGCGAGGACGGAAUUGAUGGCAUGCCAGGCCCCAUACUUCAUUACCUCCUCGAGAAGGAUAUUUUUGAGAAGUUCUGCUCUUGGGGGUCCGGCAACAGUAAGAACUGUCUGGAAAAGUUGAAACAUGAACAGCUGCGCAUGUUCGAGCUGGCCAUCAACCAGUCCAAACAGGUGUUGCUGGUUCAUCGUGCGGUGAUUCGCGCGCUGAUGAAGCUUCUCAUCUCGUGUGCAGAUUCCUCGGUUGUCCAAUCCAGUGACAUCGAACACAGGACCGUGCUAGUACUACACCAGAUCUGCGUAUGUAUUUCACAAGAAACUGUCAUUCUUGAAAACUUCUUCAACAUUAACGCUGAUCAUGGUCCGACAAGGUUUCUCAUCUUUUCUUUGCUUAUUCCGUACAUCCACCGCGAGGGACCCAUUGGACAGAAUGCCAGAGAUGCCUUAUUGUUGCUGAUGGCCCUGUCAGCAAAGAUUCCUCAUAUAGGAAAGUACAUGGCAGAGAAUUCAGACUUCUGUCCAGUGUUGGCUACAGGUUUGAGUGGACUUUAUUCCUCGCUGCCCCGAAAAAUCACACCCGAGAAUGACAGCUGGUACAUGCUAACCGAUGAAGACUGUUCUCGCAUCCCCGAUUUGCACAUGUUUCUGAACUCUUUAGACUUCUGCAAUGCUGUUGUUCAGAUUGCUCAUCCCUUGGUAAAGGAGCAACUUAUUAAGUUCAUCUACAAUGGUUUCUUGAUUCCUGUCCUUGGACCAGCUUUACAUCAGGAUAUCCCGGGCCUCCCUCUGCCACUGCUAGACACGGAACUGUUCGCGAAUUCCCGAGAGGAAGUGAUGACAGCCACAGCUUACCUGGACCUGUUUCUCCGCCACAUCACGGAACCUGUGCUGAUCAAGGCUGUCUUGAAGUUUAUCUUGACAGAGAAGUAUGAUGAAAUAGUUAUCCUCGACUCACUUGUUACACGAAUCAACUCCAGCUCAAAGCUAUCGUUGAUAUCUUUAUCGCUGUUUAAUACACUGAUCAGUUUGAACUGUGAAGAUGUCAUGUUCCAGCUUGUGUUUAAGUAUCUUAUCCCUUGCACGCAUGUCAUGGUCAGUCAACGAAGGUCUGUCAAAGACCUUGAUCUUUACAGUAAAAGCGCAGAGAAAUUUUUGUCCCUACGUCCAGUUUGCUGCAUGUCCACCAGCAUGGAUGGUCCCAAGGGUACAUCUCCGAAUGAGUCCACAUUCAGACCUAGUUCUGGUAGCAGACGUAACGCUUCAACACCAAACAUCCGCUCUAACAAUGUCGCUAUAAAGUCUGGAAACGGUCUGGGCAAUUUCUUUAAAAAGAGAACAAGACUUCAUCGCAGCAAUACUGUUGCUGGCCCACCAAUAAGUUCGUCACCAGAAUAUGUGAUCCACAACAUGGGUACAUCGUCGUCCGAGGGUACACGUGGCCCAGUGGACCGUUUCGAGACGAGCUAUAUGAACUAUCUUCAAGAUGCACGUGAUUCCCUCGUGCAGUGUGCCACGGCAUGCGCACACUGGUCGUCUCCAUACAAUGGAGAGACGCCCCCUCCAGACAUUUUCAUGGAGCCGGUUGUUACUGUGAACAAAAAUCAGAGUGCUGAUAUCCAUUCUGAAGACAUUUCAAUUGAUGAGAGAGAAAACAAACCUGAUGUCAAAAAUGGUGCUGAAAAUAAGUUAAUUCAGGAUACCUCUAGUGCCUCUAGUGUAAAGCUGCUGUCACAUGGUAACGCUGCUCACUGCAGCUCCCAUGAAAAUUUGGCGCCAAGUGAAAAUGAUAUGCAGGCUGAUUCAAAGACUGUUAACAACAAUAAGCAAGUUUCGAGGAACUUGUUCCAGGAUAAUUUUGAUAAGUGCAAUAAUUUAUUAAAAGUGAAACCAUCAAAUACAUGCCCAGAUCUUUCAAAACUUUAUCAGAGUCUGAACGAUGUGGAUUCAUUUUUAUCGUAUCUAGAUAGCGUGAAGGAUUCUGAUUCUUUACAGACCACUUCAGAGUCCAUCGAAGACAUCCUUCAGUUCCUAGAUUCCAUGGAGUCCGCUGUUAACACAUCAUCAACAUAUGCAUCCUCUGACAGGACUGAUGAAGACAUUUCACAAGACACCGGAAUGUCUUCGUUUGUUACCGAUCAGAGUGGCUGCUCCUCCAACCAGCUGACGACCGACUUCACCCACAUCACACGGCCUGCCAGCACGAGUACACCCUCCUUCCUACCCCUGAAGAGUUUCAACGUGUCGAGUUACGUGAACAUCACAAUGAGCGGUCUGGACCCGCACGCAAUGACUGCGGCCAGCAAGGUUCUGCAGGAGCUACCCCAGAGACACCUCAGUCUGAGCGUCCUGUCGUCCAGUCCUUCCGAGACCAACUUGCUGUCCCCUAGCUGGCACCCUGACGAUGUACCGCUCGGUCUGGCCAGUCCAGCUUUUCAGAUGGCAAACCGCAGCUUCACUCCCAGAUACCCAGACAGUGCGCCAAAUAUCGGGCCCUUCUUGUCUGCACUGUUUUCGAAGAUGGACAGCAUGAUACACAAUUCACUGUACAUGAACCUGCUACUGACAGGGAUUAUAGCUCGACUUGCUUCAUACCCGCAACCACUGCUCCGUUCUUUCCUCCUCAACCACAACCUUGUUUUCCAGCCAACGGUCAAAUCUCUCGUCCAGGUAUUAUCAUCAGUGCGUCAGAAACUCGACAACUAUUCGAAAGUGGUUAAACGCUUUGACUGGUUGGUGGUAUUAGCGAGGAAGAACCUUGUGAUGAAAGACAUGCAGGAAUCGAACCCUGGGUUGGGGGACCGGACAAUCACUCUGUCGUCGCCGUACAGCACGCCCACAUCUAGGCCUGGCAAGUCCUCCACGUUGUCCGAUGGUAGUGUGAAAGAACGGCAGCGUUCCACAUUUUCCGAUCUGCUGUUCAGGAGGUCUCCAUCCAAUCGAAAACACAGCGUGGGUGACAAAAAACUGGCGCAGCUACAGAGGAUACCCGUGCAGGGUGGAAUGGGAUAUCGCUUCAUCAACCGCAGUGACGAGGACACACAGGAAAGACCCGAGGAAUCACUCAAAACGUGGAAUGCCGUCUACUGCGCGGUGGUCCUGGAGGAGUUCCUGAAAGAGUUGGCUGCCCUUGCCCAGGAGCAUGCGGUGCUGGGAGUGGACGAAGGGUAUGACAGCAGCUAGUCAUCCUUUGCUUAUAGUUGGCUGAAGCUGUGACAAAUCACGUGGUUGGGCUUUUCUCCCCUUUUGGGGCCUUGGCUUGAAAAUGAGAAAAUUACGAAACCGUAACACAUCAUCAUGUCAGAUGUACUUAUGAUCACAGACUUGAGAUUGAGAUUUGAAUUUUUUGUUUAAAGAAAUUUUAAUGCUGAUUGUUUUAACCCAUUAAGUCUAAUUUUCUUUGAUCUCAGUUUAUGUUUUAGUCUGUUUAUAGUUUUACAAAUAUAUUAUAUCAUUUUCCUUAAAGCUUGAGUCCACAUACAUUGACAUUACCGUCAUAUAUAAAAGUUCUUAAACUGAAUAAUGCAAGAAACACCUUCGUCAACAUUAAACAGGGUCAUCAAUUUUAUAUUAUGUGAAAUGUUAAAACAUUCAUUAUUGACUGAUAAUUAGUGAUAUAUGCUGUUAAAAUAAAUACACAGCAAAAGAGUUAAAGCAUACUGAUCAUGGCCGCAUUUUAUCAUCUAUGUUACUGGCUAACGGUAUUCAGCACCACAACUAUGUUGGUUUUCAUUCCCACUUUGUAAAAAUUCGCAACUAUUAAUCUUUUAUUGUACAUACAUAUAUUUAAAUAUUUUAAAAUAUUAUUUUAACAUUAUUUAAUAUAUACCCAUACAAUUAUUAAUAUGUGAAACACUAAUGACAGAUUGCCGUAUCUUAAAAAGAGAGAUGAUUUAUUUGUUUUCUAUAUACUUGAAGUAUUGUGCACUGGCCUCGGUGGUGUGUCAUCGUUAAGCCAUUGGAAACAAGGCUGGUAGGUACUGUGUUUGCAGCCUGGUACUGGCUCCCACCCAGAGCGUCUCUCUCACUAACAACUAACCCACUGUCCUGGAAAGACGGCCCACAUAGUUGAGGUGUUUGCCCAGGACAGAGUGCUUGAACCUUAAUUGGAUAUAAACAUGAAAAUAAAUUGAAAUGUGCUCAUUCAGUAAAUAAGAUAUAAAAUCAGAGUAACUUGUUAUUCUGUACAAAUGUUCUGUAAAGGACAGCAGAAGUUUACAUACAACAUCAGUUGAUGGCAAAUUAUUUAUGGGUAUAAUGUUAAAUACCACUUAAUUUCUAUUAUUUAUCUAAUUUUUAAGUUGUUUAUUUGUCCUUGAUGUUAAUCUACUUUUAACUGUGGACUCGAGCUUUAAAAAUUAUUUAUUAUCCAGAGAAAAUAUCAGGCUUGCCAUUUUGACCAUUGAUUUGAUAUUUUAAAAAUGAUUUAUAAAUAUGUACAUAGUAUAAUUAUAUAUUUAUGUGGCUUCUGAAUACUCAUAUGUAUGUCAGACAUUUUAUUUGAAAUAGUUAUGAUUGGUUCAAUCAUUGUAGUGGGAUGUAGCUGCUUAGAAAAAGACAACAAAAAAAAAGACUCCUUCUUGCAACAUCUGACCAAAUAUGAUUUUAGAGAAACUUUUUAAUCUACAAACUGAAUAUUUUAAAGGUACAUUAAAUAGUGGUAUAGCUGAUUUUUAGUUUUUUAAUACAAUUACUAAUAUAUCAUAACCGUAUGUCAGCGAGGGACAUUUUGUUUUUAAAAUCUGUAAUUACAAACAGCCGCUACCCAAUUAAAAAUUUAUUAGAAACUACGAUUUAAUGUUUCAGAAAAAUGUGACUCGAUGCAUUACCACAGAAUACAUUUUUUUUUACAGAACAUAUCAGUAGGAUUGGCAAAUCAGGGUACAGUAUAAUUGUCUAACGCAGGGUUUAAGUUUAUUGAAAUGGAAUAUAGCAAAUAUAUUUCAUUAUUAAUUGCCAAAGAUAUAAUUUGAAAAUAGGCUUAAUGAAAUUGGAAUCUGGAUAUAGAUUAUCUGGCCAAACUGCUAAUUUUAUGGGUCCUUUAUAAAUCCUGAAUAAGGUCAUUGGUUUAAAGCACCGGACAGAUUGAAAAUGGCAAAUGAAGAGUAUUUAGAACCUAUAUUGUAUUUUUUUAAAUGUGUAUUUAUUUCCUUUAUUUAUUAUUAUUAUAAAAAAAUUUUUAAUUUUAAUCAUACAAUGUAUACAAUAAAAAUGUACUGGAGUGUUGUUAAACAUUCCUUUCAUUUAAAGUAUAAUAUUUGUAUCACUUUUUUUUAAAUUUAGUUUUGAAUGAUAUAUUGCUUGAUUAAUUUUAGAAAGAUUUGAAAAUGUUUAAUAAUUCAUUAAUUGGCCUAUUUAAGAUAUAUUAAGGUAUUGAAAUACAAAGGAUUUCUUUGUACUUUAAUCAGAUUUUUAAUCCUAUCAUCAUUACCCAUUAUAUAAAUAAUUAAUUUGUGUCAAUAAAUUCAAUAAAAUAUUAAAGAAACUGUCCUGAGUUUGCCACCAUUGUUGAAAUGUUCCCGACAGGGUUUUUUUAAUGAUUAAUUACAUAUUAAAUUUUAAAAAUUGUUCAGAAUACCUCUGUAGUGUGUCCUUCCCUGCUACAAAAAUGUAUUUUUUUGUAAAUAAUUUCAAUUUUGUUGUAAGAAGAAAAGUAAAAGUGUUUUGGAAAUCACCAAAAAAUACUAUUUUUGCGUGCGAUUUAGAAAAUAACUGGCUCAGAAAUAAAUAAGUUAUAGUAAAUUGCAUAUACGUGUAUAGCCACAGCUAAUGUAGACGGCCUAUCAACAAUGAGGUCGUAUUUUGAAAGGGAAGCACAGUGUCGGGACACCAUACCCAAUCUAAACUUUCCCAUGCUUAGCUUGAGUUACAUCUAGUUGGAAAAUAAAAUUCAGUCUGCACUACUACAUUUAUUAGGAUGACCAGAAACACCUUGUAUCCACAGACAUUUAUAUUAUGAGUAAAGAAAACAUGUUAUUCGUAGUUUCAGUUGUUAAAAAGGAUAUGUUAGUUGGAAAUGUUACAAUCUCAACAAACACAGGACAGUCCCUUGAGUAUUAUUUUAUUUUAAAGUUAUGCUUUUAGCUUUGCAAUUAUCCCAACAUAGAUAUUGAUUUGUGGAUUGUUGUAACUUUGUUUAAUUUAAAAAAAAAAAAUUGUGUAUUUAUACAUAAAUUUUUCAAUAUUAAAAUCACUUGAAUGACAUUUUAUUACUAUAUUUUAAAUAAUGUACCUGUAUAUACAUGUACAAAAGCAACAAUCCAGGCACAAAAUAUAAUCUGGUUAAUAAAUGCCUAUGCUAUUAGAGAACGGUGUACAAGAAGUUGAAAUAAUUGAUUAUUAAAGUGAAACAAAAUGGUGUCAUUUUACACUGAUAUAAAUCAGUGAAGCAGCAGAAAAUAUAAACAAUUGAAGUAAUCAUGAGUGUCAAAAAUUAUUUUUAACAAAUAAAACUGAUUUUAAUUUUUUUUUUAAAGGAAUUGUUUUGGUAAUAAACUAGCAAAUAUAAUUGAUUUCAUUUUUUUUCAAAUCUAAGAACAGAAUUUAAAGAAAAAUGUCCCAAUGAUGGUCAGAACAUCCCCUCUCUUCCUGGUUGACAUGCCUGAUAAUGAAUAAAAAGCUUUCUGUGAUGGAAAUAUGUGCAACGAGUUAAAUAAAUGGCUUUCAUUAUUACCUAGACUGAAAUAAUGGAAUGGAUUAUUUUAAAAAACAUAAACAAAAACCCCAACCCCAAAACCAACUAUUGGCAAUAUCUUUUCUAUGGUUCACUUCUCAGAUUAUAGAAGCUUUAUUAGCUAGAUUGUUAUUUGCAGUUUCACUAACAUGGCAUAGGUUAGUAUUAGUUACUUAAGAUUCUUAUCCCAGUGCUUGAAAACAGUACAGAUUCAUAGCUAUGUAUCCAUAUGUAAUUCGUGGGUAAACAUAAUACGGUAUUCAUGAUUUUGAGAAAUUGUUUAAUAUAUAAUACAUGUACUGAAAUUGAAGGGUAUUUUGUGUUCAUCAGUUAAAAUUGUAAAUAAUAUAUAUAUAUAUAUAUGUUUGAUAUACCAUGACACAUAAUAAGAUAUGGUAAAUAUUACUCAUUUCUCUGUAAAUCAGCAGUUAGUGUGUAAAUUAUCUAGAUCUUUUUGUACACGGAACUAUGCAUUUAAAAUAUAUGAGGUACAGAUGUGUACUGUAGUCUUUCAUAUCAUAUAUUCAUAUUUACAAUUUUAUUCGGUUUCAUAGUUAUUCGUAAUUAAUAAAGCUGGACACUUACGAUAGUGUUUCCUGUUUGGAUACUCGUUACACUAAUUUAAUCUUAGUCAUAAAUGCCAUUUUAUUGUAGCUUUCACAAUGAACAUAAUAGAAUUGUUUUUUCUAAUACAUUUUUAUUUUAAGAUAUACAUGAGAAAUUAUAUAGUGACUGGGGCACGUUAUUUUAUGGUUUGAUGGAUUGUGGGAAUUUAAAAAAUGCAAAUAAUGCUUAAUGUCUCUUUAUAUUGUUAUUGGAGAUUAUUCAGAAAAAAGAAAGAAAGAAAAAAAAAAGGAUUUCCCAACCAUCUUUUUAGGGCAACAGUUCAGAUAUCUAUCUUUCCAUAUAUCUGUUGGAUUGCAUGGUUUUUUUUUUUUGAGAGCUAAAAUAAAAGUAAUUGGGAAACUUUAAAACUUUAUGUACUUAAUUGAAAUUAUGUUACGGUUGCAGCAGAUACAGUUGUCUAUCCUGAAGGCAAUAUUUACUGGUGAUUAGAAAAUGAACACAUGAAAUUAAGUCACUUGAACUUAGGCUUGAUGUUUGUACUUAAUUCUAUAGGAAGCAGAGUAUUGUUAUUGUAACUUUUGACUCUUCCAUUUCUUGUUCCAGCCAGUGUUCCACAACCAGUGUAACAAAGGUCGUGGUAUGUACUAUCCUCUCCGAGGGAUGGUGCAUAUAAGACCCCUUUCUGCUAAUUGAAAAGAGUGGACUGGAGGCAUCCAGUUUCCUCCUUAACCAUAUACAAAUUGAGCAAAACAUUCCUUCCUUCUAAAAUCUUCAUUUAGACAAAUCAAGUUCACUGGUUGGGAAAGAUGACAUAUCCUAGCUACAAUCCAGUUUAUUAUCAAGGAAACAAUAGCUAAUUAUAAUAUAGUAUGAAUAGAAUUUUUAUUAUUGUAUUGUAUUAUCAACUAUAGAAUUUGUGUUUUUACUUGAACUGAUUUAAUAAUUUACUUAGCUUCAAAUUUUUAACAAUUUAUUUUACAUAUUUUUGAAUGUGAACAUAAAUUGUUGGCAGACAUUGAUCAACUAAUUUUGUGUUUACAACACUUUAUUAUAGCAAAACGUUCUAUUUGUAAUUCAAACAAAUUAGUGCUCAAUUGUAAUUGCUUUAUUUUAUGGAAGAUCAGUACAAAUUAAUAAAUUACGAUGUUUA